ACUCUGUGUGUGUGUGUGUGUGUGUGUGUGUGUGUACACACACACACACACACACACACACACAUCAUAUGUAU